rnacentral:rRNA from 1 species
AGUGAACGCUGGCGGUAGGCCUAACACAUGCAAGUCGAACGGCAGCACAGUAAGAGCUCGCCCUUACGGGUGGCGAGUGGCGGACGGGUGAGGAAUACAUCGGAAUCUACUUUUUCGUGGGGGAUAACGUAGGGAAACUUACGCUAAUACCGCAUACGACCUACGGGUGAAAGCAGUGGAUCUUCGGACCUUGCGCGACUGAAUGAGCCGAUGUCGGAUUAGCUAGUUGGCGGGGUAAAGGCCCACCAAGGCGACGAUCCGUAGCUGGUCUGAGAGGAUGAUCAGCCACACUGGAACUGAGACACGGUCCAGACUCCUACGGGAGGCAGCAGUGGGGAAUAUUGGACAAUGGGCGCAAGCCUGAUCCAGCCAUGCCGCGUGGGUGAAGAAGGCCUUCGGGUUGUAAAGCCCUUUUGUUGGGAAAGAAAAGCAGCGGGUUAAUCCCCCGCUGUUCUGACGGUACCCAAAGAAUAAGCCCCGGCUAACUUCGUG